UACAUGGAACAGAACAUUAUUUUUUCUGCUCAACAAUUGAUGUCUUGAGUUGCUGCUUCUGUCUCCUGGACCCCAGUGAAGGGGGGUGGGGUAGGAAGCGGUAUCUGUUUUUUUUCUCUACUUCAAGAAACCGAGCACCCCGAGGAAGAUUGCUGGGGCUCCUAUCAUAGGCUCCAUCUUGGGGCCCCCAGCUGCAGGCUAGGCUGAUGGAAUCAAUUUGUUCCUAAGUGGUAAAUGCAUCAUAUGAAAAGUAGAAUGGCCUACCCACAAUUUGAGUUCAUUCAUUGGAAACAUAGAUUGUUGUUAAAUGUUCUUAAACUGGAAGAAGCUUGGUUUGUGUUUCAGUGGUUUUUUUUCCAUGUUGGUAGAUAGUGUUAAAUUUUGUCCAAGUUGGGGUGAGGGGUGGUGGCCGCAGUGGCAAAUGGGGAUAUUAAAUAUCAUUUCGAGGGCUGGUGUGAACAUACAUCUUAACUGUUGGCAGUGAUGAAGGGGACUUUGUUGGGGGUGAGUGUUGGUCUUGCCUAGCAUUAAUACUCAAAUAUGUGUGUUUGAGGCCGUGAAGCACUCGGGAGUGUUUUAAUGACGUUACUCAGGAGAAAGCAGCUUUUUCUUAAAAUUCCCUACUUGGAACCUUGCAUGUCUGCAGGUGGUGUCCUCCCCACCCUGUCAGGUCUUGGAUAAGUAUUGGUCAUGGUCGUUGGCCUGAUCUCUAAUCUGUAUUCAUAGCCAUUUCUUCUUAUAGUAGCACUGUUUGUCCUAAAUGUGUUUUUCUAGAAAAUGACCACUAGUUUAAAAACCCUCGAUUCUGAGGUUUGCCCAGAGGCACUUGUUCUGGGAUUGCCCCUCCCGCUUCAGCCGUGCCCUCAUCACUUUCCUGCAGCGAUUGCUUGGAAUGGUAGGCUAAACCUGCUGCUGCCCCCCACACAGUGUCCCAGGCUAAGAUUUGGGAGCUGUGGCCAACCUCGUCAAAUAGGGAAGAGAAGCUCAACUUGUAAGCACAAAGGAGAGACUUCUUACUAAGCGGUGCCCCUCUAGCUGGUUGUAACUGACAUGCCAACUAUGGAAGGGCGCAGACUGGAAGAGGGUGCCUUUCUUUUGUGCUCACGCUCUGGUUAAACAAAAGUGGUCUUUGCUGAAGCAGGCAUUUCGUUCUGAAGAGACUCAAGGCCACUUGGCCCAUUAGCUGCUUGCGGAAAGACUACUACUUUACGGUUUUCACCCCAUCACAAGAUUGCUCCUUAAAGGAAUGAUGCUCUGUAGCUUCUCUGAGAUGCUACAAGCGGCGUGGUGUCACCACCGAAGACUUUGGCUUAGCUUGAUUUCUGGACCCACAGUAUGUGUUCUUGCAAUGCCAACCUGUGAACUUUUUUUUUUAAUCAAAAAGAGCACUGCUUUCUCUAACCGCUUCUCUCUCUACCAAGCCCUUAACCCCAUUCUUGAAUGAUGUUUUAUCCUUUGGAAAGAACAAGGCUGUGAUGUAGGAACUAUUGUCUGUGUCUCCUGUAUGUCUGUUCUUGUCACAAAUGUAUUUGGGGACGUUGGAUGCAUUCAUUUUCUGUAAUAAAGUUUCUUAAUCAGUCUUCCCAAAAAGUAAUCAGUGGGCUGUCUGCAAUCUUUUUGAGAUACUGAGCCUCUGUAUUUUGGGUUGAUUAUAAUCAAGGUUUUAGAAGUUCAGCCUUCGCUGUGACCAUAGACCUAUCGUCUAAUGGAAAGAUACCAUCAAAAAGGGCAAGUGUUAAGGACUGCAAAGCCCCUAGAUCAACCCUUCAGCCAGAGGAGUAGGGGGAAGUUGGCUCUGGAGCUGUAUGCCAGGAUAAAUAUGCAAUUUGCAGAAUGCUAAUGAACUGCUCUUGAUACAGUGGCUGGGUCCUUGUAAUCAGCCAGCCCUGCCAACCAGGGCUCCCUGAGGCUGAGGGUCGGGGCUUAGUUGGCUGACAGAGCCAGGCCCAACAAGGAGUUCUGGAUGAGAGCCAUGGGGUCCACUUGCUCUUGGCUUCUGGUUUUCUGUGGAGUCCAGGACUACUUGGGAGGGAAUGGCUGGCAGGCUGGCUUAGUAGCCCCAGGCUUCCUUUCCUGCUUCAACCAGAGCAACAACCCCCCCCCCCCC
rnacentral:lncRNA from 1 species